AAACCUACAGGGAUUGCCCAGUAACGGCGAGUGAAGCGGCAACAGCUCAAAUUUGAAAUCUGGCUCUCGGGCCCGAGUUGUAAUUUGUAGAGGAUGCUUUUGGUGAGGUGCCUUCCGAGUUCCCUGGAACGGGACGCCAUAGAGGUGAGAGCCCCCCGUCUGGGUUGGACGCCCGAACCCUCUGUAAAGCUCCUUCGACGAGUCGAGUAGUUUGGGAAUGCUGCUCU
rnacentral:rRNA from 1 species